rnacentral:rRNA from 63 species
AGACUCUCGGCAACGGAUAUCUCGGCUCUUGCAUCGAUGAAGAACGUAGCGAAAUGCGAUACUUGGUGUGAAUUGCAGAAUCCCGUGAACCAUCGAGUCUUUGAACGCAAGUUGCGCCCGAAGCCAUUAGGCUGAGGGCACGCCUGCCUGGGUGUUGCACA